rnacentral:rRNA from 1 species
GACGAACGCUGGCGGCGUGCUUAACACAUGCAAGUCGAACGGAAAGGCCCUGCUUUUGUGGGGUGCUCGAGUGGCGAACGGGUGAGUAACACGUGAGUAACCUGCCCUUGACUUUGGGAUAACUUCAGGAAACUGGGGCUAAUACCGGAUAGGAGCUCCUGCUGCAUGGUGGGGGUUGGAAAGUUUCGGCGGUUGGGGAUGGACUCGCGGCUUAUCAGCUUGUUGGUGGGGUAGUGGCUUACCAAGGCUUUGACGGGUAGCCGGCCUGAGAGGGUGACCGGCCACAUGGGGACUGAGAUACGGCCAAGACUCCUACGGGAGGCAGCAGUGGGGAAUAUUGCACAAUGGGCGGAAGCCUGAUGCAGCAACGCCGCGUGCGGGAUGACGGCCUUCGGGUUGUAAACCGCUUUCGCCUGUGACGAAGCGUGAGUGACGGUAAUGGGUAAAGAAGCACCGGCUAACUACG